rnacentral:tRNA from 1 species
GCCCUGGUAGCUCAGUGGUUAAGCGUUCAGCUGCUAACCGAAAGGUCAGUGGUUCAAACCCACCAGCGGCU